GGUUAAGCGACUAAGCGUACACGGUGGAUGCCCUGGCAGUCAGAGGCGAUGAAGGACGUGCUAAUCUGCGAUAAGCGUCGGUAAGGUGAUAUGAACCGUUAUAACCGGCGAUUUCCGAAUGGGGAAACCCAGUGUGAUUCGUCACACUAUCAUUAACUGAAUCCAUAGGUUAAUGAGGCGAACCGGGGGAACUGAAACAUCUAAGUACCCCGAGGAAAAGAAAUCAACAGAGAUUCCCCCAGUAGCGGCGAGCGAACGGGGAGGAGCCCAGAGCCUGAAUCAGUGUGUGUGUUAGUGGAAGCGUCUGGAAAGGCGCGCGAUACAGGGUGACAGCCCCGUACACAAAAAUGCACAUGCUGUGAGCUCGAUGAGUAGGGCGGGACACGUGGUAUCCUGUCUGAAUAUGGGGGGACCAUCCUCCAAGGCUAAAUACUCCUGACUGACCGAUAGUGAACCAGUACCGUGAGGGAAAGGCGAAAAGAACCCCGGCGAGGGGAGUGAAAAAGAACCUGAAACCGUGUACGUACAAGCAGUGGGAGCACGCUUAGGCGUGUGACUGCGUACCUUUUGUAUAAUGGGUCAGCGACUUAUAUUCUGUAGCAAGGUUAACCGAAUAGGGGAGCCGAAGGGAAACCGAGUCUUAACUGGGCGUUAAGUUGCAGGGUAUAGACCCGAAACCCGGUGAUCUAGCCAUGGGCAGGUUGAAGGUUGGGUAACACUAACUGGAGGACCGAACCGACUAAUGUUGAAAAAUUAGCGGAUGACUUGUGGCUGGGGGUGAAAGGCCAAUCAAACCGGGAGAUAGCUGGUUCUCCCCGAAAGCUAUUUAGGUAGCGCCUCGUGAAUUCAUCUCCGGGGGUAGAGCACUGUUUCGGCAAGGGGGUCAUCCCGACUUACCAACCCGAUGCAAACUGCGAAUACCGGAGAAUGUUAUCACGGGAGACACACGGCGGGUGCUAA
rnacentral:rRNA from 1 species